UACGACGGGUGUAAGCGUUAAUCGGAAUUACUGGGCGUAAAGCGCGCGUAGGUGGUUCAGUAAGUUGGAUGUGAAAUCCUCGGGCUCAACCUGGGAACUGCAUCCAAAACUGCUGAGCUAGAGUACGGUAGAGGGUGGUGGAAUUUCCUGUGUAGCGGUGAAAUGCGUAGAUAUAGGAAGGAACACCAGUGGCGAAGGCGACCACCUGGACUGAUGCUGACACUGAGGUGCGAAAGCGUGGGGAGCAAACAGG
rnacentral:rRNA from 1 species